rnacentral:rRNA from 1 species
CUACGGGUCGCUGCAGUGAGGAAUUUUGCGCAAUGGAGGGAACCCUGACGCAGCAACGCCGCGUGAGUGAUGAAGGCUUUCGGGUCGUAAAGCUCUGUCAAGUGGGAAGAACCUAUGCAGUGUUAAUAUCACUGUAUACUGACGGUACCACUGAAGGAAGCACCGGCUAACUCCGUGCCAGCAGCCGCGGUAAUACGGGGGGUGCAAGCGUUAUUCGGAAUCAUUGGGUGUAAAGGGCACGUAGGCGGCUUGGUAAGUCAGAUGUGAAAGCCCGGGGCUUAACCCCGGAAGUGCAUUUGAUACCGUCAGGCUUGAGUAUGGGAGAGGGAAGUGGAAUUCCUGGUGUAGAGGUGAUAUUCGUAGAUAUCAGGAGGAACACCGGUGGCGAAGGCGACUUCCUGGACCAAUACUGACGCUGAGGUGCGAAGGCGUGGGUAGCAAACAGGAUUAGAUACCCGCGUAGUC